AGAGUUUGAUCCUGGCUCAGAGCGAACGCUGGCGGCAGGCUUAACACAUGCAAGUCGAGCGGGCACCUUCGGGUGUCAGCGGCAGACGGGUGAGUAACACGUGGGAACGUGCCCUUUGGUUCGGGACAACUCCGGGAAACUGGAGCUAAUACCGGAUAAGCCCUUCGGGGGAAAGAUUUAUCGCCAAAGGAUCGGCCCGCGUCUGAUUAGCUAGUUGGUGAGGUAAUGGCUCACCAAGGCGACGAUCAGUAGCUGGUCUGAGAGGAUGAUCAGCCACACUGGGACUGAGACACGGCCCAGACUCCUACGGGAGGCAGCAGUGGGGAAUAUUGGACAAUGGGCGCAAGCCUGAUCCAGCCAUGCCGCGUGAGUGAUGAAGGCCCUAGGGUUGUAAAGCUCUUUUGUCCGGGAAGAUAAUGACUGUACCGGAAGAAUAAGCCCCGGCUAACUUCGUGCCAGCAGCCGCGGUAAUACGAAGGGGGCUAGCGUUGCUCGGAAUCACUGGGCGUAAAGGGCGCGUAGGCGGCCAUUCAAGUCGGGGGUGAAAGCCCAGGGCUCAACUCUGGAAUUGCCUUCGAUACUGUUUGGCUAGAGACCGGAAGAGGUUAGUGGAACUGCGAGUGUAGAGGUGAAAUUCGUAGAUAUUCGCAAGAACACCAGUGGCGAAGGCGGCUAACUGGUCCGGUUCUGACGCUGAGGGCGAAAGCGUGGGGAGCAAACAGGAUUAGAUACCCUAGUAGUCC
rnacentral:rRNA from 1 species